AUUUAUUCUCCAGGUCUCAGCUGCAUUGCCACUGCCUUAGGGGAGGCCUUCCCUGACUGAUUUGAGGAGGUGCGAUGUCCAAAGGAUGCAGUUUUAAGAGAACCCACUCAUCUGGUUGAUGAAUUGGAAAAGUUGAACUUUGAGCAUGCUCAACCUGAGUGCUCGGCAAGGCAAAUGGAAUGGAGGAUCCACACUCCUGGAAGCAGCUUUCAACCAACAAUGAUGGACAGUUAGUGGCUAGAAACUCUCGCUUUAUCCCUUAGUUGGGCUUACCCUGUAUGAUCAUAUACCCUGUCGACAGCACCACUGUUGUCCAGCACUGUUGAGUUCCAGUUGCUCAGCAUAGUGUUGAUCAAGAAUUUAAGGUGCCUUCCCUCUCCUGGCUCUCUCAUUUUCCCACUUUAUUAAUAGCAUUUCCAGGGAUCACCUCUCAGUUUAGCUACUUGCAUUCAAAUUCUUGUCUCAGGAUCUGCUUCUGGGUGAAACCAAGACAUCUAAGUUCCACUGGCAAUGAAGUAAUUAAUGCCUUAAAUCUGAUUAGAUCUAUAAACUAAUUCCAGAUUCUCAUCUUUAAGGUUGGUCUCUGUGAUGAUUAAUAUUGAGUGUCAACUUGAUUGAAUUGAAGGAUGCAAAGUAUUGUUCUUGGGUGUCUGUAGGGUGUUGCCAAAGGAGGUUAGCAUUUGAGUCAGUGGACUGGGAAAGGCAGACCCACCCUCAAUCUGCGUGGGCACAAUCUAAUCAGCUGCUAGUGUGGCCAGAAUAAAAGCAGGCAGAAGAACAUGAAAAGACUAGACUAGUUUAGCCUCCCAUCCUAGAUCUUUCUCACGCACUGGAUGCUUCUUUCCCUUGAACAUCGGACUCCAAGUUCUUCAACUUUGGGAAUUGGUCUGGCUUCCUUGCUCCUCAGCCUGCAGAUGGCCUAUUAUGAGACCUCACCAUGUGAUGGUGUGAGUCAAUAUUCCUUAAUAAACCCCC
rnacentral:lncRNA from 1 species